GGAAAAAUGAGUUUUGAACGGUCAUCCAACUUGGAAUUACUAUUCGUAAACUCGGGCGUCAUGCCGCUUUCAAAACAAUUGAGAACUCUGGCUAAAAUUAGCUCGGACUGGGAAAAAUAAUUUUGAAUUCCAAGUCGGAACUCUUUCUCCGUCGUGAUUUGACCUAGUUUUUUUCCGAGUUCCCAGUUGUCUUGAAAGCGCCAUCGUCAUUAGAACUCCGACUUCUCUGACAUGAAGGUCACUGACGUCCCGAUCCUAAGAUUUCCCCCCCCAUUCUGAGCUCGUUUUUUCCGAAUCCCCAAUUCGCUUGAAUGCACCAAAAGUUUAUAUAGCGCAAAAGACUGGCCAGCCACAUGCUUGCUCAUUCGAUUAGUCUUGUGAUCGACCUGAAGACGCCUUUCUCAAUGUCGAAGUUAUGGCUUAGAAAUGCUUCAUUGGUGUUUAACGUUAGUUAUUGGUACACUGCUGCCACUUGAGUCUUGCAAUGCUCCUGAACUGGUCAUUAACUCCAAGUAGCUAAAUUGGUGUUGUGGAGGGUUGGGCCUUGCAGAACCAUGCACGUGGGGAACUGGAGAAACGUAAAACCAUUCCGGGGGUAAGUUUAUGUUUGGCGCGGAUGUUACUGAAUUAACUGCUAAUACGUAACUAACGUGGUCGAUUUUUGACAAUUUAUGGAUGUGAUCUAGUAAGACGAAGAUUCCUAAACUGUUAGCCAUCUGAUCCACGAACACGGAAAACCAGUUUACGCAAUGGAAAUUAGCAUGGGUAACUGUAGCCGAUUAAACGCAACUCCGCGCUUUAUGAUUGAGCUAAGGGGCGACUAGUGUUGACGAACUGGCGCUGCUCAUACGUUACAUAACAUGGAAGUUAACUACUGAUUUCGGCACCCAUAGAAUAUCCCGAAAUUACAGACAUGGUGUUUGUAAUUGCGGCCUGUUUGGGCGCUGAACUCGUUUUCUUUUUGUUGUUGUAAACGUCACUAUUGUGACGUCGGAGCUCCAGUCCGCCCAUAGUUGCAGCUCAACUCCAUCUUAAAUCGAGGCGUUUAGUUGGCUAAGUUAGCUAGUCCACACAUUUUUUUGAAAUGCAAGUCCUGUUAAGUCCUCAUGCAAUUAACCAAAUUGUACAUUAGUUCUAGAUUCGGGAGCCCACUCCUUCUGGACCUGGCCAGGGCGGUAUGAACUGGAGCAUACCCCAUUGACUGCACAUGGCUGGAGUGAUACCGCCCCAAUGAGUUGAUGACUAGAAGACUCACGGUGUUAAACCACCCCAAUGGGUUGAUGGCAAGUAGACUUAACCUGGUAAGGUGGUGUCCCUUUGAAUAACAUCCCUGCAAGUUCUCCCUGGACUGGACCUGUGGACGAUUCUCUUCCACGUGGCCGGAGUUUCCAAGACGGUCGGUCCUUUCUUCCUCUGGAAGUGAUCAACUGGAAGGAAUUGUGUUGUGUGGUAGCCCAUAUGGGACUCACCUGGGACAUGGAUACCUGAAGACCGAAGGCUCAACAUUGUUAAUAAAUAUCAUGAGCAGCAGUGGUUUCCUUUGUCUUUUCCAUGUGUGUUCUGCUUUGUUUGUGAGGUUUUGCUGAGUAAUGGUGUUUGUCUGUGACUAUAGCAAAGACGGUCAUUCUUUUUAACUUCAAUAAAUCGGUUUUAACCAAG
ensembl:lncRNA